rfam:Aedes albopictus isolate Foshan contig19195, whole genome shotgun sequence.
UGCCCAGCAACUCCUAUCCCUACCUCCACGCGGUACCGGCCGGAAAUUAUGAGCAACCUUAGGGAAGAUCGGGUAACCAACCCCGGUGGGAACUUUGGUCGUAGGCUGACAGGGAAGG